rnacentral:rRNA from 1 species
GUGAGGAAUAUUGGACAAUGGGCGCAAGCCUGAUCCAGCCAUGUCGCGAGCAGGAAGACGCAUCUAUGGUGUGUAAACUGCUUUUGUACGGGAAGAAACACUCCCUCGUGAGGGAGCUUGACGGUACCGUAAGAAUAAGGAUCGGCUAACUCCGUGCCAGCAGCCGCGGUAAUACGGAGGAUCCAAGCGUUAUCCGGAAUCAUUGGGUUUAAAGGGUCCGUAGGCGGGUUAAUAAGUAAGUGGUGAAAGCCCAUCGCUCAACGAUGGAACGGCCAUUGAUACUGUUAGACUUGAAUUACAAGGAAGUAACUAGAAUAUGUAGUGUAGCGGUGAAAUGCUUAGAUAUUACAUGGAAUACCAAUUGCGAAGGCAGGUUACUACUUGUGGAUUGACGCUGAUGGACGAAAGCGUGGGGAGCGAACAGGAUUAGAUACCCCUGUAGUCC